rnacentral:rRNA from 1 species
GAUGAACGCUGGCGGCGUGCCUAAUACAUGCAAGUCGAGCGAACGGACGAGAAGCUUGCUUCUCUGAUGUUAGCGGCGGACGGGUGAGUAACACGUGGAUAACCUACCUAUAAGACUGGGAUAACUUCGGGAAACCGGAGCUAAUACCGGAUAAUAUUUUGAACCGCAUGGUUCAAAAGUGAAAGACGGUCUUGCUGUAACUAAUAGAUGGAUCCGCGCUGCAUUAGCUAGUUGGUAAGGUAACGGCUUACCAAGGCAACGAUGCAUAGCCGACCUGAGAGGGUGAUCGGCCACACUGGAACUGAGACACGGUCCAGACUCCUACGGGAGGCAGCAGUAGGGAAUCUUCCGCAAUGGGCGAAAGCCUGACGGAGCAGCGCCGCGUGAGUGAUGAAGGUCUUCGGAUCGUAAAACUCUGUUAUUAGGGAAGAACAUAUGUGUAAGUAACUGUGCACAUCUUGACGGUACCUAAUCAGAAAGCCACGGCUAACUACGUG